UACAUAGGGUGCGAGCGUUGUCCGGAAUCACUGGGCGUAAAGCGCACGUAGGCGGGUCGUUAAGUCAGGUGUGAAAUCCUGGAGCUCAACUCCAGAACUGCCCUUGAUACUGGCGAUCUCGAGUUCGGGAGAGGUGAGUGGAACUGCGAGUGUAGAGGUGAAAUUCGUAGAUAUUCGCAAGAACACCAGUGGCGAAGGCGGCUCACUGGCCCGAUACUGACGCUGAGGCACGAAAGCGUGGGGAGCAAACAGG
rnacentral:rRNA from 1 species